rnacentral:rRNA from 1 species
AUUGUAGUCUGCAACCGACUACAUGAAGCUGGAAUCGCUAGUAAUCGCGGAUCAGAAUGCCGCGGUGAAUACGUUCCCGGGUCUUGUACACACCGCCCGUCACACCAUGGGAGUCGGAAAUGCCCGAAGUCUGUGACCUAACCGUAAGGAAGGAGCAGCCGAAGGCAGGUCGGAUGACUGGGGUGAAGUCGUAACAAGGUAGC